GAUGAACGCUGGCGGCGUGCCUAAUACAUGCAAGUCGAGCGAACAGACGAGGAGCUUGCUCCUCUGACGUUAGCGGCGGACAGGUGAGUAACACGUGGAUAACCUACCUAUAAGACUGGGAUAACUUCGGGAAACCGGAGCUAAUACCGGAUAAUAUAUUGAACCGCACGGUUCAAUAGUGAAAGACGGUUUUGCUGUCACUUAUAGAUGGAUCCGCGCCGCAUUAGCUAGUUGGUAAGGUAACGGCUUACCAAGGCAACGAUGCGUAGCCGACCUGAGAGGGUGAUCGGCCACACUGGAACUGAGACACGGUCCAGACUCCUACGGGAGGCAGCAGUAGGGAAUCUUCCGCAAUGGGCGAAAGCUUGACGGAGCAACGCCGCGUGAGUGAUGAAGGUCUUCGGAUCGUAAAACUCUGUUAUUAGGGAAGAACAAAUGUGUAAGUAACUAUGCACGUCUUGACGGUACCUAAUCAGAAAGCCACGGCUAACUACGUG
rnacentral:rRNA from 1 species